rnacentral:lncRNA from 1 species
GAUAUAUUUUGAAGCCAAAUAAAGAGAUAUAUAUAAAUACGAGCAGAGUUACUGUGUUAUUAUGAGCACAAUAGUUUUCGUACUCCUAAUUUUUUAAUCAUUUAUUAAUUUUAAUUGAUAAUUAAAAUGAGAGAAAGAAGAAAUUGGAAGGAAAUUUAAAAAAAAAAAAAAUUAAGACACCAAAAUUCUCACAAUUUUUUUCUCUCUCAUCCUAACUAUCCAUCAAAAUUGAUGAAUGGCGGGAAAGUUAAUAGCAUAAGAACUACUGUACUCCUAAUCGUACAGUAAUCAUACUCGAAUAAUAAUUGUCUUUUUACUAUAUUACUGGCCAACUAUGCUUAACUCAUAUAAUUUUUUUCAAAUUUUA